AAAACGAUGUCUCUGACAUCUGCUUCCUUGAACUCUAAAUUGUUUACCAUCAGAGCGAAAUACUUGAACUCUCUUCUGUGACAUCAGGAGCUGGAUCUGAAGGCUGUUUCCAGGACGCAGCACAGUGCCCCAGGAAAGGCAGGAAGCCUCUUAGCACUGCCAAUCAGGGAUGGAGUCUCAAGACUUUUAAUGAAGAUUUGACCAGUGAAGAAGGGUUAUUCAAGGCCUAAUACGUCACUUAAGCACC